UGACAUCUCCAGUUAAAGGAUGCAUUGACAGAUGAUGUGAAAGACUUCUGUCCAAGACCCAGGAGAGCUAUUGGCGAUCAAGAUGAUUACGCAAUACCAUUGUUGCUUGGUGACAGGAGGAUUUUGAAAAUUCAAAUUGGGAAAGGCUUUCAUAAUGUAGGAUUCCAUCUUUCAACUGGAUCCACUGCCUAAAGAAUUGCUGAAUAUGGUACUAUAGGAAUGCUGUCUUGUAGCUUUCCACAAAUACCCCACCCUAUCUUAAAUGAUUGAAGCAGCAGCAUGACCACAUGUGAGUUUCACCAAUAUUAGCAAAAGGCACAGUAUUAUUCUAUGAUUCUAUGAUUCUAUGAUUCUAUAAAUGUCUUUAGUUCUGUUGAUGUAGUUGAUUCUGUUUUCUUCUAUUUUUUAAUUUCAUUCAUCUCUUUCUCUCACACACAUGCUCUUUCUCCUUCUCACCCCCUGCUUUCACAACUGCUGUCUCAACAGUCUUUUCCUUCUUCCAUCCAUUUUCUCGUACUUCUCCCAUGGCUUCCCCAGUCCUUUCUUUCCUCUUUCUUGGGGUUGAAUGUAUUCUUUGGCAA